UACGAAGGGGGCUAGCGUUGCUCGGAAUGACUGGGCGUAAAGGGUGCGUAGGUGGCGCUGUAAGUCAGGUGUGAAAUUUCGGAGCUUAACUCCGAAACUGCAUUUGAUACUGCGGUGCUUGAGGACUGGAGAGGAGACUGGAAUUUACGGUGUAGCAGUGAAAUGCGUAGAGAUCGUAAGGAAGACCAGUGGCGAAGGCGGGUCUCUGGACAGUUCCUGGACAGCUGAGGCAGCGAAGGCCCAGGGGAGCAAACGGG
rnacentral:rRNA from 1 species